rnacentral:sRNA from 1 species
GCUGGGCAUGCUAAUGUACACCUGUAAUCCAAACUACUCAGGAGGCUGAGACAGGAGGAUUGCAAGUUCAAGGCCAGCCUUGGCAAUUUAGUGAGAACCUGUCUCAA